CGGAUUCUACCAUUUUCACUUGCUUAUACUAUUCAAGCCUUUUCCGGUACUCGCCCGGACAGUUUUUCGGUACUCGCACGGAUUCUACUAUUUCCCGAUUUUCGGCGAAUUUUUACGAUUUUUCGGUAUUCGCCCGGAUUCUACCAUUUUCAGUUAUUCAUACUGAUUCAACCCUUUUCCGGUACUCGCCCGAACAGUUUUUCCGUACUCGCACGAAUUCUACGAUUUCUCGAUUUUCGGCGGAUUUUUACGAUUUUUCGGUAUUCGCCCGGAUUCUACCAUUUUCACUUACUCAUACUAUUCAAGCCUUUUCCGGUACUGGCCCGGACAUUUUUUCGGUACUCGGACGGAUUCUACCAUUUCCCGAUUUUCGACGGAUUUUUACGAUUUUUCGGUAUUCGCCCGGAUUCUACCAUUUUCACUUACUCAUACUAUUCAAGCCUUUUCCAGUACUCGCCCGGACAUUUUUUCGGUACUCGGACGGAUUCUACCA
rnacentral:lncRNA from 1 species